AUUGAACGCUGGCGGCAUGCCUUACACAUGCAAGUCGAACGGCAGCACGGGGCAACCUGGUGGCGAGUGGCGAACGGGUGAGUAAUGCAUCGGAACGUACCUUUCAGUGGGGGAUAACGUAGCGAAAGUUACGCUAAUACCGCAUAUUCUGUGAGCAGGAGAGCAGGGGAUCGCACGACCUUGCGCUGAUUGAGCGGCCGAUGUCAGAUUAGCUAGUUGGUGAGGUAAAGGCUCACCAAGGCGACAAUCUGUAGCGGGUCUGAGAGGAUGAUCCGCCACACUGGAACUGAGACACGGUCCAGACUCCUACGGGAGGCAGCAGUGGGGAAUUUUGGACAAUGGGGGCAACCCUGAUCCAGCCAUGCCGCGUGAGUGAAGAAGGCCUUCGGGUUGUAAAGCUCUUUCAGCCGGGAAGAAAUCGCACGGGCUAAUACCCUGUGUGGAUGACGGUACCGGAAUAAGAAGCACCGGCUAACUACGUGCCAGCAGCCGCCGUAACAC
rnacentral:rRNA from 1 species